GAGGAGUGCCCAGCGCUCGGGGCCGCGGCGCAGCUGCUGUCGCUGCCGCAGCUGUCCAGGGAGGAUCGCCAGGACGGCGACGAGAGAUAAGAGGAGUCGGGAAAACUCAAGAGAGGUCGCCUUUUCCUUGUUCACACGUGUACGCAGUCACUGGUGGAGAUAGGUGACAUUAAAAGUCUUGCUCCUUUCACUUAGUCACUUGGUGCUCAAGCAGGUCGUCUGGACACAGCCUUCUUUCUCCCUGGCCUUUCCAAGGACCUGCAAGGAAAUUAUGAAGAAGGCUGAAUAAAUUUAUAACCCUCGUCCUUCCUGGGCUUUUUUUUUUUUUUUUUCAAAUUCCUUCAAUGUCAUGGUUUUCCUAGUUCCUGAAUUGGACUGUGGGCCCAAUAAAAGGCCGAAUAAGCGUUUUUAGGAAGCUAGGAGAUGGAGCCAGGAGAACUGUUUUGGCGACAGGGAUUAGAUUAAACUCCAAUCCGGAAAAAAAAAAAAUAAGUUUUAAUAGCAGACUGGUGGCGCAUGACGCUGGAGUGUGUGGCUUCAUGGAAUUCUAGCAGACACUAUAAAGAGCAACCCUGUAGAGGCCUGCUAGAUUAAGGACGAGAUAGAGUGGGUGGGGGCAUCCACCAGCAAAGGGAGGCUGCCCCUGGUGGUCAGAUUCCCUUGUUAGGUUUGCAACCUUUAUUUAUGGUCUUUGCCUUCAGUAAGUCCGUAUAGUCCAGUGGAAUUUUCAGGGGACAUGAAAUUACCUGCAAGAAGUGUAUCUAAUCUGCUCAGUUAGGAGUUAUUGCAAACAGCCUCCUGGGCAAGAGCUGAGCUAGUUGCCAAGGCAGAUUUGGGAAGCUGGUCCCUGGCCAGAUGGCUGGCCAAGAGGGAGGGAUGCCAAGAGCUGUGGGUGAAGAGGGCCUGCUUCAGGAAAGGCUCGGAAACCUUAUCUGGGGACACCCACACGCUGUACACAGAUGCCUUGCAACUGUUACUUAGAGCAACUUUCCCCUGGGCACAAGAAAAGCACCCUUGAACUAGGAUCAGAGGCUGAAAUGUCAACCACAUUGAAAAGUUUUAUGAUUGAGAUAGGAACUAAAGGCACACCUUUCAGACACGCCCUCCAGUGGUUCUAGAACAACGCCUAGCUAUGUGUGUGGGGGGGGAGGGGGAUGAAUCGUGAUCACAUUGCCACACACCUUGCUGCCAUCGGAUCGGCUUAACGUCUGUGUGUGGCUCCAUGAGCAUUUGCAAUGCUGACACGUGGGGUGAAGCUGGACUCAAGUACUGUGCAGGGGCACACCGGCCACACACCUGGCUGCUCAACCUCACAGCCAAAGCAUCUGCUAGUCAGAUGUCCUUCCAGGCAGCCAGCUCCGUGCUAUUACCAUCCUUUUCUCCGUCCUCUUAAAUCCUGUUAGAGGCCCCAAAGAGCUGUGACUACAUUCCCGCUGACAAAGAUUAGCUUGCAUUUGAAAUUCGCAUUUUCAGGGUGAUGACUUCAAUUUCCAGGAGCUGACUUUGGAAUGUCUUUUGCACAUGAAGAAAAAAUAACAUUAAAAACGUUGACAAAGACAUUUCAACACAGCAGUGGUGGCAAGAGCACUCCUUAGGCAGUGGCAGGUAGAUCUCCAUGAGCUCAAGACCAGCCUGGUCUACAGAGUGAGUUCCAGGACAGCCAGUGCUUUUACACAGAGAAACCCUGUCUCAAAAAAAUAAGUCAUAAAGACAUUUCAUCCACUAAGAAAAAAAUACAUGCUUUUCCUUCCUUAGUUUAAUUCUUUCUAGAAAAAGCAGCUUUCCAAUCAGGAAUUCCAUUUCCCAGCCUGACCAUGAUAUGUCCAUGUGAUUGGUUUUUGGUUCUGAUAAUAUUAGCUAAAGUGGUCUGUGACUUAAUGGCCAGAGUGAUCCACAUCCUUCCGUCUGUAAUCCUCUAUUCAGUUGAAUAUAUUGCAUUUGCUGAUUGGAAGAUUCUGUGUUUAAGUCUUAUAUCCAUUCAAUCUAAGCAUUAAACUCUGAUUUUUUGUUGCUUUUUUAG
ensembl:lncRNA